ensembl:lncRNA
AGGCUGUCGUGGGCUCAGCCCGGAGGACCUGCGAGUCCCUGCUGCACGGUCACACGACCUGUGACAGGCCUCCCACUCCACUCCCAGCUGCGCGAGAUCCUGGCCAAGGCCUCUCUGGGCCACAAGAGGAAAAGCCUGUUUGGGAUCGACUGGCUGCCGGGGGCAGGGGUCUUCAGCGCAGCCUCCCCUGAACGAUCCAUGCUCCCACCGUCCCAGCUGCUGAAGCCCUUUCUUGCCUCAAGGACAGCAAGUGUGAGAGCCAUGCUGGGGAGCUGUGCCUGCCUUGUACACUGACUGGGGGACACAGAGGAGAGGCCACCCACGGUCACAGUGGACCCGGGCAGGGGACAGGGCAUUGGGCAGGUCGUGCGGCUAUGCAGACCUCUCCAGGGCUCAGCCCAGCCAUGGAGACCAGGCCCACCCAGACCACCCAGAGGCGACGCCAGUAUCCCUGAGGGUUCUACGCAGGUUGGCUCCUGCCAGCGGCGGUGGUGGGCACGCAGAUGUCCCUGGUGGGCUGCAUCAUGGUGUCCUCAGACACACCCACGCUUCGCGCAUCGCCAGCCUCACGGGGUCCAUGGUGCACUUCAUCUUCAUCCUCAUGCUCUCCAAGAUCUACGUGGCCCGGGCGCACGUCCUGACGAGACGGGGAAGCCAAAGGCUGCUGGCAAGGGUUCCGGCUCUGCUCCCAGAAGAAGAAGGCAGGGGUUUCCCUGGAGGCCGGCAGGAGCUCUGGGAGGUGGACUACCAGAUUUUGCCCUUCGAGGGCCUAUUUGACAGAGGGGAGAACCGCUGCACAGUCAAAAGUGCUGCAUCUGAGCAAGGCAUUGCUCUGAGCCUCCGGCGGCCAGAGCAACAGGGUUGACGCCAGUGGCUUCGUUCUGCGGAGGAAGAGGGCAGAAGGCACACAGGGAGGGACAUGCUUCUUCAUAACGUGAGCGGGCGACCACUGGACGGAAGGCCGCCGGGCCCCAGGCUCUCCUUAGGAAUCUUACAUAAGAGCAAGGAGCCCCUUUCAAGGAGCCCCUUCCUAGAAUCUUGCCACGAGUCCACAGGGCGGGCACAGCCCGGGAAGGACAGUUAAAGUCCCAGACCACAGGCGGCAGGGGGAGGCCGGGGACCAGCCAGAAACACACCCAGCUCUGUGAGAGCAUUCCGGGGAGGCUUCCGGGAGAAGGGGGCCGUGCCUGGAGCCUGUGGGGUGGGUAAAAGCAGGGACUGUGGGCACAGGCAGGGGUGGUCCCACGCCUCCCUGAAGGGCGCGGUGAAGGGUUUACGGUGGGCAGUGUCUGGCCACUGGUCUCAGGUGCGCGUGGUCCUUAUCACCGGAUGAAACCCGGCGGGCGGAAGUCAGGGUAGCGCGCCGUGGCCACCGGAGGGCCUGACGGUGACCCUUAUCCCCGCAGUCCUGCAGUUCGGCUUCGUUACCACCUUCGGGGCCGCCUGCCCGCUCGCGCCACUCUUCGCGCUGCUCAGCAAUUGGGUGGAGAUCCACCUGGACGCGCGCCAGUUCAUCCGCCGGGUGGCCGAGCGCGCGCUGGACAUGGGCAUCUGGUUCCGCAUGCUGGAGGCAUCCCGCACCUGGCGGGCAUCAGCAACGUGAGCUCGGGGCGCGGCGGGGGCGGUCACCUGGGAGAGCGGGCCGGCCGGGGCGCGCGGCCGCGCGCUCACUCGCCGGCGGCCCGGGCGUUCCUGCUGGCCUUCUCGGCCCCCUUCCUGCCGCGCGCCCACUACCAGUGGAGCCCGGCCAGCGACCUGCGCCGCUUCGCCGGCUUCACGCUGGCGCCACCCAGCCCGCCUUCAGCGUUGCAAGCAGCCGCCCUUGCGGGUGAGGGCGCCGGGGGCGGGGCUCCCACGGGAGGGGCGGGGGCGGCAUCGAGAGGGGCGGGGCUCCCACGGGAGGGGCGGGGCGACAGCCGGAGGGGCCAGGCUGGGAGGGCCUGGCGCCCCUCACUCCCGCCUCCGGAGCUGCUCUGCGGGAGGGGAUCAGCCGGGGCGGGGUCGGAGCUCCCGGCGCCCGCGGGCUGAGCCCGGCGACGGGGAGCGGGUGGCAGGCUGAGAAGGGCGUUGGCACCUCAGCCUGCCCCCCACCGCCGCGUGGCUCCCGCAGGUACCAGGCCUUCGGGGAGGAUGAUGGACAUUAUUCCCGGACCUACUGGACUCUAGGGCCAUCUGUUCGGCCUUCGUCACGGUGUUCGUGGUGCCGAGGGCCGCCGGAUGCUGGGCCCCGCUCCUACCCCAGGGCUCCACCCAAGCACGUGGUGUUCUGCACUGGCGGCUCCCCGAUCUCAUGGAAACCGACAUCCCUGAAUCUGUGGCGAGCAGGUGAAGCGGGAGAACUACAGUGCCAAGCAGACGCUGGCUGAGAUCUAGGCUCUUUUUGGAACAACUGGAGCAAAAGAGAACCAAGCCUUGGGCUCAGAGAUGAGUCCGGGCCCAGAGCCUAGGUUGCCAGGAGCUGGAGUCACAGCUCGCCCCUCAGGAGGCGGCUUAGGGCCCUGGAGGAGGGGUGGGGGGUGAUGCUGUCAAAGGCUUCCCACCUCAGAGGCCACCGGCCCCUCCCGGCCCCUCUGCCUCCCAGGCUCUGGCGUGAGUUGGCCCCAUGGCCCACUGUCUCCAGCCAGGGCACCUGGAGGCGGGCACGUGGUGCCUAGGGGCAGCUUUCCCUGCCAUCUCCCGCCCAGCCUCACCUCCCCCCUCACCCAGGCAGGAUGGCUCCAAAGCUAAGGUGCUGCCCCCCUCACAUCGUGCCCCCACCCUUCACUGGCCUCUCCCGCCUUCACCUGCCCCCCUCCCCCAUCCCUGGCCUUGGAGGCACAGGAGGUGGCCUCGUAGGCACAGGAGGUGGCCUCCACCGGCUUCACACGUCUGCCCCCCUCAGCCCUGAAUGGGGCUCAUCUCCCCUCAAGCUGAUGGACUUGGGGUCUUCCGUAUGGCCCUCCCUGUAUCUGCUGCCUCUCAAACGGUGGUGUCCCCUCUCCCGCCAGCCCGGCUGUCUGGCCUGCCCCUUACAUACCCCAGCUGGCAGCCCCAACCCAGACUGUUCUGGGCCACAGCUGAGUCUGCUCACCCCGCCCCAGGGCCCCUGCAGUCCCCUCCUCUGACAAGGCCUGCAGUUCGGGCGCCUUUCCCUUCCAGCCUGUCCACAGCCUCUGAGCAGCCCUUCCAGCGCUUCCUGUGGCAGCACCGGGCUCCCGCCAGCCUGGGGCCAGCAGCAGCCUCGCGGUGGCCAGUGCCUCGAUGGGGAAGGUUUGGAGGGAGAAUGAACUUUAUUCCUUGAAGCAAUCGGAGGAAAGGACAUUCACUCCCGUGUUGGUAGAUCUCCUUCUCCAAGUCUUCCCGUCUGUCUGCAUGGGGUUGUCUUCAGGACGGGGAGCUUCACGGCACCUGCAGCUGGACUUCACCCACCGCCUGUCUUCGUGAGCGCCCUGCGUCUGCCUCCUCUGAGCGCCGAUCACACAGCACCCCCAGCCUUGCCGGCUGCUCACUGUCCUCUGCUCUCUGGCUGCAAGCCCCGCGGCACAGACGCCAGGAGACAGUGUCCACUUGCGACUCCCUCAGGGGAGCGCUCCUCAGGGCGCACAGCACUGUGAAAACGGACACGUGGUUUUUAAACUGCUUGGACGCACUGCAGUCCGCCGAGCUCCUCCCCAGAACUGCCAGUCGACGCCUUCAUAAAACCCACAGGUCCGGGCCUCAGGCAGCACCAACUAUUUCCUGAGCAGGGAGGGGGUUGAGACUAGGGCAGCUGCUUGCUCACACAGGGUCCAGAAAGCCAGCCGCCUCCUGUGUGUGGGCGGUGGGCUGCGCACACGUCCUUGUUACAAGACCCACAGGCGUUUUCUCCCAGGUGGUGGUUUCUGCUGUUUCAGACUUUCAAAACUAAACUUCUGGAGACGUCUACCUCCCCGGUGGCUCAGACGGUAAAGCGUCUACAAUGCGGGAGACCUGGGUUCGAUCCCUGGGUUGGAAAGAUCCCCUGGAGAAGGAAAUGGCAAUCCACUCCAGUACUAUUGCCUGGAAAAUCCCAUGGACAGAGGAGCCUGGUAGGCUGCAGUCCACGGGGUCGCAAAGAGUCGGACACGACUGAGCGACUUCACUUUCUUUCACUUACGGAGACGUAAGAAAUCUUGGGCUUGCAUGAAGUGAGCACACCAGCGUAACCAGCAUUCAUACAAAGAUACAGUCCUGGUCACUGGGGUGUGGUGCCUGGGAGGGCCUGCCCCCACCGCCUUCCUUUCCCGCCUGAAGUGGUCACACCUUGGCCUCAGGGUCGGGACCCCUAGGUGUGACCUCUUCUGGGGGGUACACCACCAUGAGCCUUCCUGACAGCACUCUGCUGUGUGAUGCCCCCUGAAUGAACACCACUUAGCCAUCCUACCUGGCUGCCAUCAAACUCUCGUCCCCACCCCCUGGUGCCCUGGAAGGUGUCGGGUCACCGUCUGCCCCCAACUGUGACGCCUCCCAGCGCCCUGGCUCCUGCGAAGCCGUUGGUUCAGGACUGAGGACCCUGUGCCAGCUGGGGGGCCGCACCAAGCAUCUGUGGGUGCCUAGUGACCCUCCAGAGCAUGCCAGACACUCCUGGUUCCCUGAGACUGAGCUCGGCAGGGCGUGAUAAGACGAGUCUCAGCACACUGUAUCCAGUUUGGGUUUUAUUUAGGAUUUAUAAAAUUCCAGUGUCAUCCAUAUUCACG